CACGUAGGCACCAAGCGUUGUCCGGAUUUAUUGGGCGUAAAGAGCUCGUAGGCGGUUCAGUAAGUCGGGUGUGAAAACUCUGGGCUUAACCCAGAGCCGCCACCCGAUACUGCCGUGACUUGAGUUCGGUAGGGGAGCAGGGAAUUCCUAGUGUAGCGGUGAAAUGCGCAGAUAUUAGGAGGAACACCGGUGGCGAAGGCGCUGCUCUGGGCCGAUACUGACGCUGAGGAGCGAAAGCGUGGGUAGCAAACAGG
rnacentral:rRNA from 1 species